CAUAUAGGCCCAGUUUCCCGUUAAUGGCUUAAAAUAAACCAGGACUAGGCUAAUUCUACUUAAAUUAAUCCACACUAAACAACUGACUUUCUGAGAUGUUGCUUAAAUUUGGAUUAACUAGUUCUAGACUACAGAGUCUCAGAUUAAGGUAAUCAAGGACAAGUGAGAUCAUCUUUUGGAAACCCGAUUAGAUUAAUGGCAUGCACAUGUGGCUAAGGAGAGGUUGCUAUAAAAACCUGGUAUGGACUACUUGUAAUUCAUUAGUCUUAAGGAGUGUGUGGAACAGGAGUCAUUACACUUAACCAAAAAAUGGAUCAAGGCAGAAGAAAACGCUCAAAAAACUUCAGUGAAUUUGAGAAGACCCUUUUUAAACAAAUUGUAUCAAAUUAUCCUGUAAUUGAAAACAAACAGCAUGAUUCAGGUACAGAAAACAAGAAGAAGAAGGCAUGGAUUUCCAUAUUGAAUCAAUUCAACUCAAAUGAAAAAGUAACCAAACGGACACUCCAACAAGUUCAGGUCCUGUGGAAAAACAUAAAAAUAAACCUGAAAAAAACAACUGCUGCUACGCGUCAAGAGCGUUUCAAGACAGGCGGGGGACUCCCAGUUCCACCAGACACAGAGGAGUUGGGGGACUUGUUGGCUGGGAUUAUUGAAAGUCAGCAACCCCUGGAAGGUAUUCCAGAUGAUGACCAUUUGGCCAUUCAGGUGAGGAAUCUUUCAAAGACUCAUUUAACACGUCUCAUUUACAGUAACGUGCUAUCCCAUCCAACAUAAUUAAAUGCAAGUCAUGUCUUGUAACAAAAAUUAUGUAAUGACCUUUAUUGUUGAAGUCAAAUGUAAUGCUAUUUAUUUAUUUUUUUCAUACAAAGAUGACCUGAUCUUGACACAGGACUUGGGGGGCGCAGGGAACAGUCAAGAUGCUCAAAUGAAUCCAGCAGCAGCCAGCACCAACAUGCAGCAGCAUCCAGUCUCCUGCAGUAGCAGUAGUCAGCAUCCAGCAGUCUCUAAUCCAGGCAGCAGGUCAAGAGGGAAAAGGAUGACCAUUCAUGAGAAACUUGCCAUAGAGUUCCAUGAACGUAAAUUACAAUAUUUAAAAGAAGAACAUGAAGUCAAAAUGAAAAUCCUUCAUCUUGAGUUGUCUAUGAAAGAGAGAGACAUGAAGCAGCAGCAGUGUCAACUGACUUUGGAACAAAAUCUCAGUUAAAUAAAUAAUUUCAUGAAUUUU